CGGAGGGUCCAAGCGUUAUCCGGAAUCAUUGGGUUUAAAGGGUCCGUAGGCGGUUUGUAAGUCAGUGGUGAAAGCCCAUCGCUCAACGGUGGAACGGCCAUUGAUACUGCAAGACUUGAAUUAUUAGGAAGUAACUAGAAUAUGUAGUGUAGCGGUGAAAUGCUUAGAGAUUACAUGGAAUACCAAUUGCGAAGGCAGGUUACUACUAAUGGAUUGACGCUGAUGGACGAAAGCGUGGGUAGCGAACAGGAUUAGAUACCCUGGUGGUCCACGCCGUAAACGAUGGAUACUAGCUGUUCGGAGCAAUCUGAGUGGCUAAGCGAAAGUGAUAAGUAUCCCACCUGGGGAGUACGUUCGCAAGAAUG
rnacentral:rRNA from 1 species